AACCUUCCUACAAGUGGGGAAUAGCCCAGAGAAAUUUGGAUUAAUACCCCGUAACAUAACGAUGUGGCAUCACACUGUUAUUAUAGCUUCGGCGCUUGUUGAUGGGUGUGCGGCUGAUUAGGUAGUUGGCGGGGCAACGGCCCACCAAGCCUUCGAUCAGUAGCUGAUGUGAGAGCAUGAUCAGCCACACGGGCACUGAGACACGGGCCCGACUCCUACGGGAGGCAGCAGUAAGGAAUAUUGGACAAUGGGCGCAAGCCUGAUCCAGCCAUGCCGCGUGAAG
rnacentral:rRNA from 1 species